ACUUGAAUAGCUUAAUAAUUAGAGCGUAGUAUUGAAGCUACUAAGGAGGUUAUUGUAAUCUUUAAGUA
rnacentral:tRNA from 1 species